rnacentral:lncRNA from 1 species
UCACUGGCAAGACCAGAAUGUCUUAUUGCCUCGAUCUUGCAUUCUCCUUUUCAUGCUAUCUCGAUGUCCACUCCUUCCCUCCCCGUAGCACCCCCGUGCGACUGCGGCACCGGCCUUCAAAUGCAGAGGCAGGGUUAAGGCUUGGUGGAGUGGGGUUCGACUUGGCAGGCAUUAUUUUAAACAGCAGUUUACACAUCCGACACCGGCAACCCAGCCCGUCAAAGGCAAGAAACAGGGAGGUGGAACAAAGGCUUGUGGCAGAUGUGGCUGGAACUUGCUAGAGACACUCUAACCACAGCAGCACGGCAGAAAGAAGGCUCAAGCCAGUCCUGGCUCUAGCCACUCCCAUCUCUAGCAUCUAGAUUAUCAUCGCAACCUUCUCCCCAUCAUUCUUUCAUGCCCUUGUGAUCCGGAACAAUUCCCCAAAGCAUUCUCUCCUUUUCACCAAGGCAUCCUUCAAACUCUAAAUGGAA